CCAAUAGCGUAUAUUAAAGUUGUUGCAGUUAAAAAGCUCGUAGUUGAAUUUCGGGGUUAGUAGGUUGGUCAUGCCUCUGGUAUGUACUGGUCUCACUGUUUCCUCCUUCCUGAUGAACCUUAAUGCCAUUAAUUUGGUGUUAUGGGGAAUCAGGACUGUUACUUUGAAAAAAUUAGAGUGUUUAAAGCAGGCUCACGCUUGAAUACAUUAGCAUGGAAUAAUGAAAUAGGACGUUUGAUUCUAUUUUGUUGGUUUCUAGGAUCGACGUAAUGAUUAAUAGGGAUAGUUGGGGGCAUUAGUAUUCAAUUGUCAGAGGUGAAAUUCUUGGAUUUAUUGAAGACUAACUACUGCGAAAGCAUUUGCCAAGGAUGUUUUCAUUAAUCAAGAACGAAAGUUAGGGGAUCGAAGACGAUCAGAUACCGUCGUAGUCUUAACCAUAAACUAUGCCGACUAGGGAUCGGAUGAUGUUAAUUUUUUAAUGACUCAUUCGGCGCCUUACG
rnacentral:rRNA from 1 species